UACAUUGGAGGGCAAGUCUGGUGCCAGCAGCCGCGGUAAUUCCAGCUCCAAUAGCGUAUAUUAAAGUUGUUGCAGUUAAAAAGCUCGUAGUUGGAUAUCUGCUGGAAGCAAUCAGUCCGCCCUUUUCAUAAGGGUGUGCACUUGAUGAAUUCUGGCAUGAUUUCAUCCUGAUAAUGAUAAUAAUAUGUUGUUAUAAUAUUAGGUUGAUUCCUAGUAUAAUAAUAACAUUAUUAUUGUUAUGGGGAUGACAGUUACUUUGAGAAAAUUAGAGUGUUUGAAGCAGGCUUUUGUUGCCUUGAAUACUGCAGCAUGGAAUAACAAUAUAGGAUUUCGGUUCUAUUGUUUUGUUGGUUUUUUCUGUAGGACUGAAAUAAUGAUUAAUAGGGACAGUUGGGGGCAUUCGUAUUUAACUGUCAGAGGUGAAAUUCUUAGAUUUGUUAAAGACGAACUACUGCGAAGCAUUUGCC
rnacentral:rRNA from 1 species